CUCUGAUCUGCUUCUUCUCACCCUCGGCAGACUGUCAGACGAGUGAUAAUGAGAUAACACACUCGGCGGCUCCGUUAUCGUACUGUAAAACACAUCUUGUAACACUCAGAGAUCCGACAAAUGCGCUCACUUUCACGCUUUAAUCGCUGAAAGGAAGAAUCUGCUUUUAUUCCUCCGCAGUUUUUCUGCUUUUAUCACGUCUCCUUUCAAAUUAAUCGAUCACAGCGAACGCUUAAGUGGAAAGAGUUUUAUUCGGUUUGAAAAUGUCGAGAUUUUUCAAGAUUAAAGCUCAGAUUGUGGCGCUGUUUCUGUCAGCUAAUAAAAGCUGUAGUAAACAGCGGAGGUCGUCAGUGUUUGAGGUGAUUUCUGCGAACUGUUUGGCAAACUAACUUCACAGAUGUCGGCCGUGUUGUUUCUGUGCUGUGGAGAGGAACCCACUGUCUCACUCAGAUCAUUAAAAACCAAAACACAGAUUCGCACCAUCGGCCCGAGCUUGUUUCACUUCUGCCGCACACCUCAGAUACCCCACAGCUGCUGGGUAAACUUAACCAAGCAGGCGCAUUUCAUCUUG